GUAGAGUGAUCGAAGGAUGAAAAGCACUUUGAAAGAGAUUCAAACAGCACGUGAAAAUUGUUGAAAGGGAAGCGCUAGCAACCAGACUUGUUCUGUAAAGCUCAGCCCUCUGAAAAGAUGGUGUAUUCUUUUUCGAACAGGCCAACAUCAGUUUUGGCGGGUUGGAUAAAAGUCUGUGGAAAGUAGUUCUCUUCGGGGAAUGUUAUAGCCUGGGCAUAAUGCAGCCAGCUGGGACUGAGGAUUUGCGUCUUCGGACAAAGAUGUUGGCAUAAUGGUUGUUAGCGACCCGUCUUGAAACACGGACCAAGGAGUCGACCAAUUAAGCAAGCGUUUGGGUGUAAAACCCUUUGACGCGGAAUGAAAGUAAACGUAGGUGGGAAGCUCUCGGGCUGCACCAUCGACCGAUCUGAGUUCGCGAGGAUUUGAGUAUGAGUUUAAUUGGUCGGACCCGAAAGGUAAGACGGACCUAAACAAAAAUAUGUGAGAAAAUACUAACUUCUAUAAUAGAAGGUGAACUAUUCUUGGAUAGGUUGAAGUCAGGUGAAAACCUGAUGGAAGACCGCAGCGGUUCUGACGUGCAAAUCGAUCGUCAAAUCUGGGAAUAGGGGCGAAAGACUAAUCGAACCUUCUAGUAGCUGGUUCCUGUCGAAGUUUCCCUCAGGAUAGCAGCAACGAUAAUACAGUCUCAUGAGGUAGAGCAACGAUUAGAGGCCUUGGGGCUGAAACACCCUUAACCUAUUCUCGAACUCCGAAUAUGUGAGAAGUCCUUGUUACUUUAUUGAACGGGACAUUGGAGUCCGUGCUGGCA
rnacentral:rRNA from 1 species